UCCUCGAUAGCUCAACGGUGGAGCAACCGGCUGUUAACCGGUAGGUUGUAGGUUCGAAUCCUACUCGGGGAG
rfam:Desulfitobacterium dichloroeliminans LMG P-21439, complete genome.